GAUGAAGAACGCAGCGAACGUGCGAAACGUAAUGUGAAUUGCAGAAUUCAGUGAAUCAUCGAAUCUUUGAACGCACCUUGCACUCCUUGGUAUUCCGAGGAGUACGCCUGUUCGAGUGUUAUGAAGCUCUCAAAACGCAAUUGGCUUAAAACCUGAUUGUUGUUUUGGAUUUGAACUUUGCCGUGUUAUAACGGCUGGUUUUAAAAGUAUUAGCUGGUACUAGAACGAAUUGGUUCUACUCAACGUGAUAAUUAUCUGAUCGUUGAGGACAUGCCUUUCACGAGGAAUGGCCAUAGUAAAUUCAAUGGACUGCUUCUAAUCUGGCUUUAAUUCUUUAUUGGAUUAACCACUUUUCAAAUCUGACCUCGAAUCAGGUGGGACUACCCGCUGAACUUAAGCAUAUCAAUAAGCGGAGGA
rnacentral:misc_RNA from 1 species